GAACCGUCCAAACGUUAUUCGGAUUUAUUGGGCUUAAAGGGUAUGUAGGCGGCGCUGUCAGUCGGGUGUGAAAUCCCUCGGCUCAACCGAGGAACUGCGCCCGAUACUGCAGCGCUUGAGGGAGACAGAGGUAAGCGGAACUGAUGGUGGAGCGGUGAAAUGCGUUGAUAUCAUCAGGAACACCAGUGGCGAAAGCGGCUUACUGGGUCUCUUCUGACGCUGAGAUACGAAAGCUAGGGGAGCGAACGGGAUUAGAUACCCCGGUAGUCCUAGCUGUAAACGAUGGNNCACUUGAUCGUGGGGCCCCCCAUAGCCUCUCGGUCGCAGCGAAAGUGGUAAGUGCUCCGCCUGGGGAGUAUGGUCGCAAGGCUG
rnacentral:rRNA from 1 species